rnacentral:rRNA from 1 species
UACGUAGGGGGCAAGCGUUGUCCGGAUUUAUUGGGCGUAAAGAGCGUGUAGGCGGCCAGGUAGGUCGGUUGUGAAAACUGGAGGCUCAACCUUCAGAGGUCGACCGAAACCAUCUGGCUAGAGUCCGGGAGAGGAGAGUGGAAUUCCUGGUGUAGCGGUGAAAUGCGCAGAUAUCAGGAAGAACACCCGUGGCGAAAGCGGCUCUCUGGAACGGUACUGACGCUGAGACGCGAAAGCGUGGGGAGCGAACCGG